rnacentral:tRNA from 1 species
GCCUCCGUAGCUCAACGGUAGAGCACCUGACUCUUAAUCAGUUGGUUGGAGGUUCGAAUCCUCCCGGGGGUACCA